UACGUAGGGUGCAAGUGUUAUCCGGAAUCACUGGGCGUAAAGCGUCUGUAGGUGGUUCGAAAAGUCCACUGUUAAAAAUUGAGGCUUAAACUUCAAAGAUGCCCGUGGAAACUUUCAAACUAGAGUAGUGGUAGGGGUAGAGGGAAUUUCCAGUGGGAGCGGUGAAAUGCGUAGAGUAUUGGAAAAGACCACCGAUGGCGAAGGCACUCUAGCUGGGCCACUACUGACACUGAGAGACGAAAGCUAGGGGAGCAAAUGGG
rnacentral:rRNA from 1 species